GCGCCAUCGCCACACCAGUCACCUCACCAGCCAGGCACCUGACCAAGGCCCCAGCAUUCCAGUCUCCAUGCAGCACCCAGACGUCUUCCCCUUGGCCCCCUGCUCUAGAGGCACCGCCGGGGGGGCCGCCUCUGUGACGUUGGGCUGCCUGGUCAGGGACUACAUCCCGGAGCCGGUGACCGUGACCGUGACCUGGGACACGGGGUCCCUGAAUACAAGCGUCGUGACCCUCCCCGCCGUCUUCAACUUGAACUCCAGCCGCUACACCACCAGCAGCCACAUGACCGCCUCUAGCGAAUGGGCCGAACAGACGUUCACCUGCAGCGUGAGGCACGCCGGGUCCACAAUCGUCAGCAAGCCCAAAGCGUGCGCCACGAACGUCACCCAGCCCACAGUGAGGCUCUACCACUCGUCCUGCGACCCCAGCGGCGACACCCAGGCCACCAUCCAGCUGCUGUGCCUCAUCACCGACUUCACCCCGGGCGACCUCGAGGUCACCUGGCUGGUGGACGGGCAGAGGAGCGAGAACCUGUCCCCGACCACCGACCCCCCUCGGCAGGAGGGCGCGCUGGCCUCCACCUCCAGCCGGCUCAACAUCAGCCAGGGGGAGUGGGUGUCCCUGAGAACCUACACCUGCCAGGUCAGCCUGCACGGCUGCACCGUUAAGGCCCGAGCCCGCACCUGCCCAGAGUCCGAGCCCCGCGGCGUGAGCGUCUACCUGAUCCCGCCCAGCCCCCUGGACCUGCACGUCCACAAGUCGCCCAAGGUGGUCUGCCUGGCGGUGGACCUGGCCAGCCUGGAGGGGGUGAACCUGCAGUGGUCCCGGGAGGGCGGGGCCCCCCUAACCGGGGCCACUCACAGCAGCAAGCGCCACUUCAACAUGACCUACUCCGUCACCUCCACCCUGCCCGUGGACGCCGGCGACUGGAUCGAGGGCGAGACCUACAAGUGCAGGCUGACCCACCCGGACCUGCCCCAGGCCAUCGUGCGCACCAUCGCCAAGGCCCCCGGCAAGCGCGCUGCCCCCGAGGUCUUCGUGUUCCCGCCGCCCGAGAAGGAGCAGGGGGCCCAGGCCACCCUCACCUGCCUGGUGCAGAACUUCUUCCCCGCGGACAUCUCGGUGCAGUGGCUGCGGGACGGCGCCCUGAUCCCCAGCGACCAGCACGCCACCACGCAGCCCCUCAGGGACCCGGGCGCCAGCCCCGCCUUCUUCGUCUUCAGCCGCCUGGAGGUCCACCGGGCCGACUGGGAGAAGAGGAGGUUCACCUGCCGAGUGACCCAUGAGGCUCUGCCCGGCUCCCGGACCCUCGAGCGAUCAGUGUCCAGAGACCCUGGUAACUAGCGCCUGCCUCCCGCCCCCUCCAGGGCUCCCGCUG